UACGGAGGGUGCAAGCGUUAUCCGGAUUCACUGGGUUUAAAGGGUGCGUAGGUGGGCUGGUAAGUCCGUGGUGAAAUCUCCAAGCUUAACUUGGAAACUGCCGUGGAUACUAUUAGUCUUGAAUCUCGUGGAGGUCAGCGGAAUAUGUCAUGUAGCGGUGAAAUGCUUAGAUAUGACAUAGAACACCAAUUGCGAAGGCAGCUGGCUACACGAAUAUUGACACUGAUGCACGAAAGCGUGGGGAUCAAACAGG
rnacentral:rRNA from 1 species